rnacentral:rRNA from 1 species
GACGAACCGUCCAAACGUUAUUCGGAAUCACUGGGCUUACAGAGUUCGUAGGCGGUCUGGAAAGUUGGGUGUGAAAGCCCCCCGGCUCAACUGGGGAGGGUCACGCGAUACUGAUCGACUCGAAGGCAGGAGAGGGUAGUGGAAUUCCCGGUGUAGUGGUGAAAUGCGUAGAUAUCGGGAGGAACACCAGUGGCGAAGGCGACUACCUGGCCUGUUCUUGACGCUGAGGCGCGAAAGCUAGGGGAGCAAACGGG